rnacentral:lncRNA from 1 species
AAAAGUAGGUUAAUUGUGUAAUAUCUUCUAGAGAAGCUUCUUAGAAGCUUCAUAGACGCUGCUUUGACUUUAUAGGAGUCUAUAGUUGACUUUUAGGUUAGAAACUUGGUCAACAAGUUAGCCAUGUGCCACGCAUGUUGGAAGCUUAAAGAACAAGCUAACUACGUGGUCCAUCCAUAGAAAACUUGCCUUGCAAGCAAAGGCAUGUGGCCUAGAAAAUCAACAUAUAUUGGAGGUCUUAUAGAACAUCGCCACGUGGCUUCUAGUUAGAUAGUAUAUAUAGAGGCAAGAGUGAAGCCCUCUUCACUCUUGUCAACUCCUUUCUUGCUUCUAGUCUAGUUUCAAGGGUCUCUAGUUUUCUUGUAUUUUGGCAAUAGCCAUUCCAG